rnacentral:rRNA from 1 species
CCCUUAGAUGUUCUGGGCCGCACGCGUGCUACACUGAGUGGAUCAGCGGGUCAGGUUGCGCGAAAGUGUUUCCUAAUCUUGAAAUCCGCUCGUGAUGGGGAUUGACGGUUGCAAUUUUCCGUCAUGAACGAGGAAUACCUUGUAAGCGCGGGUCAUCAUCCCGCGCUGAAUACGUCCCUGCCCUUUGUACACACCGCCCGUCGCUCCUACCGAUUGAGUGGUUCGGUGAGGCUUUGGGAUCUGAGCGGAAAGAGCGUUUCGCUGUUUCUGCUCGGAAAACUCAGUCGAACCUUAUCAUUUAGAGGAAGGAGAAGUCGUAACA